rfam:Listeria aquatica FSL S10-1188 c5, whole genome shotgun sequence.
ACCACUUUUUAAUUGCAGUCCAGAGAGGCAGCGAAGAGUGUAUCCAUUUUCUAAAGAAAGCGUAGCUAGCUUUCCUUUGGGGGAUUUAUAAACUCUUCGCAACUUAUUGCGAAGAGUUUUUUUGUA